rnacentral:tRNA from 1 species
GGGGCUGUAGCUCAGUGGCAGAGUGCUUGCCUUGCACAUGUAGGAGGCACUGGGUUUGAUCCUCAGCACCACA